rnacentral:tRNA from 1 species
GUAGCUAUAAUUUAAUGGUAAAAUCUCCGUAUGUGGAACGGUCUAUCUGAGUUCAAUUCUCAGUAGUUACC